CUGCUCUCUGGGACACUUCAGUACUUGAGACAGUAGUGAGAUGCCUGGAGAGAAAACAGCAGGAAAGGUGUCUUCAUCCUUCCUGCAGGGAACAGGAAGUCUCGGGCACUAUGUGGGAGCAGAGGGCGCCCUGUGAGCCCCCAAGGAACAGGCUCUUAGGACCCUCAGAGGCAUGCCAUUUGGUGAGACAAGAACCCUUGCCCUGCCUCUCAAUUUCUGAAACAAGCUCUGUCCAACACCGCUGUGGAUGCUCUGCCCUCAAGAGGAGGCAAAUGGCCUGUUGGAGAUAUCAAAUCAACAUCAGCAAGCAAAAAAAAAUCAGAAUUAUGCCUGGCAGAACUUGUACGUAUAAAAAAUUAUGGGAAUUUUAAACUUGACAUUCCAGAAAAGUUAUAUGGCUCACUAAGCCUCAUUUUUCUGUUCUAUAAAAGAGGUAAGGCAAUAGUAUUGAAUGCAUAAGGUUAUUUGAAGAUUAAAGAAGUUAACAUAUGAAUAUUGAAUACAAUACC
rnacentral:lncRNA from 1 species